rnacentral:rRNA from 1 species
UGGACGUAUCAGAAGUGCGAAUGCUGACAUGAGUAACGAUAAAGGGGGUGAAAAACCUCCUCGCCGGAAGACCAAGGGUUCCUGUCCAACGUUAAUCGGGGCAGGGUAAGUCGACCCCUAAGGCGAGGCCGAAAGGCGUAGUCGAUGGGAAACGGGUUAAUAUUCCCGUACUUCUUACAAUUGCGAUGGGGGGACGGAGAAGGCUAGGUGGGCCUGGCGACGGUUGUCCAGGUUCAAGUGCGUAGGCUUAAGAGUUAGGUAAAUCCGGCUCUUUCUAAGGCUGAGACACGACGUCGAGCUACUACGGUAGUGAAGUCAUUGAUGCCAUGCUUCCAGGAAAAGCCUCUAAGCUUCAGAUUGUAAGGAAUCGUACCCCAAACCGACACAGGGGGUCGGGUAGAGAAUACCAAGGCGCUUGAGAGAACUCGGGUGAAGGAACUAGGCAAAAUGGUACCGUAACUUCGGGAGAAGGUACGCUCUCGACGGUGAAGUCCCUCGCGGAUGGAGCUAUUGAGAGUCGCAGAUACCAGGUGGCUGCAACUGUUUAUUAAAAACACAGCACUGUGCAAAAUCGCAAGAUGACGUAUACGGUGUGACGCCUGCCCGGUGCCGGAAGGUUAAUUGAUGGGGUUAGACUU